GAGGGGGUUGAAGAAGACAGCCGUGGCUGACAAAGAAAGUCAGGAAAUGUAUCAACGAAAAAGAGAGAACCUACAAUGUGGCCAAGAGCACUGGGAAAUCAAAUGCUUGGGAAGACUACAAAAAACAAACAGAAGAUAACAAAGAGAGAAAUAAGGAAGGAGAGGAUCAAAUAUGAAGAUGCUGCUCCUCCUUCUGAAUGAAGAUUGAGCUUCACCCCAGACUGCAACUUUCUUCCUUUGUCCAACAUCUGUCCUGACCCUUCAAUGACUGAGGAACAUCCGCCUCCAGAAUGGUCACCGGCUCCUGCCUGCUGUACAGCCGGCCGGUGUGGCCGUGACACAGCAGCUGCACCAGGAAGGCGGCGGUGACCGGUGACGGGGGUCUGCCCCGGGCCGCACGGCGCCAUUUUCCUAACGGCCGCCGCUUCCCCGCUCGAGCGACUUCUCCUCCCAACCGCCUUCACCCCCGCGUGACGUCUGCACGGGGGGACGGGCGGGGCCGGGGGAGCCUCACCGUCACCAAGCAACAGCCACCUCGCGCUACAACUGCUGCUCCCUGAAGCGGGAAAUCUGCAUUUUUAAGGGACAUGGACAUUUAACGGGCUAUUUCUGCAAAUAGAUUGAAAUGGACGAGAUUACAUUUCAAAAGGAUGGAGGCACAUUCAAAGGAAUAUCUUAAUAUGCAAAAUGACGCAGUAAUAUCUAAAUGAAUCUACAUUUCGAAGAGACGUUGCCCUAUUUAUAAGCUUUUGGCAUUUGAAGUUAUUUGGGCAAAAGUAAUAGCAAAUGAAAUAUCAAACGAAAUUCAAAGUUAUGAGGACGGAUAAAUAUCUUGUUUAACCAACUACAAUGGCAGGGCAGAGAAUUUCAGAAAUGCGAAAUAAAUAUUCACAAUGUCUCCCUUAUUCAAAUUGUGUUUAAGGCAAUUCAAUGGCAAAUGGCAACAUUUGUUUGUUAAUACACUCACCAUAAAUUGUGAAUAUGAUUUCGAUAAAAAUAAUCUAUGUUUAAUCCCAA